UAUUCAAAUAGCUUAUAAAUAGAGUAUGACACUGAAGAUGUUAGGGAGAUAAAUUUAUCUUUGAAUA
rnacentral:tRNA from 1 species